rnacentral:ncRNA from 1 species
UCGUAUGUCGUCGCUUCCCUUCACGCAGCGGCGGCGAGCUUCGUUCGUCCUACGAGGGACCAGGCGAAGUUUCACCAGAAAAAGGAA